CUGGGAUUUGAACUUCAGACCUUCAGAAGAGCAGACGGGUGCUCUUACCCACUGAGCCAUCUCACCAGCCCCCUCUACCCUCAUUUCUAACAACCCCUCACCACUAGGAGCUGAAGUACACACUGGCUGCUAAAUUCCUCUUCCUUGACUCUGUGCUCCUGUCAUUAAACUACUUCUCUUGCAAAUGUGAGUGAGCCCUUAGCAGUGCCGGAGACCAGGCCCUUUCUCUAUGGAAGGGAAUCUAUUAAAACUGGAGGUUCCUGCCGCACACCUUCCCAGGUGAAUUUUGAGGUCUGGAAAGAGCCUAUCCCUACCUGUAUUUGAUCCUUAGACCACAGAAAUGCCACGGCACUGUAUAUUUUAGUGGUUAUAUUUCCACAGCUGUGUGUAGGCUUUUUCACUCUGGAAUCUAGUUGAGUGUCAACGUUGAGAGGGCCUGUUUGUGUUAACAGCACCACCAUAGUUUCGUUUUCUUUUGAGUUUGUCUGUGUACCUCUGGCUGUCCUGGAACAUGCAGAGCCCCCUGCCUCUGCCUACCAAGUGCUGGGAUUAAAGAUGUGUCACUACCACCAGGUGCACAACUCCACCAUCUUAUUAGUAUUAAUUUUAGAAGCUCUUAAUAAACAGAGCUUCUAAUAGACAGGAGGCAGUGAUCCUCACCUUCUGACCCGUCAUGGAAGCCAGGUUUAACACAUAGCAUAGAGUAACAAUAAUAAUGUACUGUAAACUAAAAAGAAAUACUAGAAUAGGGAUCCAGCUUUACCAGCUCCUGGCAUAAGAAGCCCUGAUUUUAAAAUGUCAAAGGUUGUGGUUCCAGGUAACCUCUGCCAAAUUAAUCUGUUGUUUUAAAACCAAAGUAAGUGUCAAGUCAUGUACCAGACUACCUUACCUUAGAAUUACACACAUUGGCAUUGCUUGAUCCGCACGGGUCACAUUACCAGUGCUGCUGCUGCUUCCCCUUUUCUUUUCUGUUUGUUUUUUUUGAGACAGGAUCUCAUUAUGUAGCUCUGAAUAUACUGGAACUCAGAUCUGCCUGCCUCUGCCUCCCAAAUGCUGAAAUUGCAGGUGCACAUCACUAUGCCCAGCAGAUACUUGUUCCCAUCAUUCUGAGCAGGCAGCUCUAGAGAGUAGAAUGAAUAAUCUACAUGCUGAUGGUAUUCCUUCCACUCUUGAAACUCUUGCUAAGGUCUUUAGUCUAGUUUCAAAGGAAGAUUGUCUUCCCGGAUAGAUGACUGCUUUGAGGUAAUCAGUGUGUGGAGUAAAUACCAUAGAGAGGGAAGUCUGGAAGGACUGUAGGCCACAGCCUACCCUUGUGGUAGUGGGUGUUCUUGCCAAGUGUUCAACUACUUUUGAGUUUGGACAGAAGGCGGUGGGUCUCACCUCCUGACUCCUCGUGGAAGCCAGGUUUAGCAUAUAGCAUAGAACACCAGGUAAGUUUGGGCUUCAGAUAACUGAAUCUUAUGAGUUAUUUAGGUUUGUCCUGACUAUAGUGUAGGGCAUAAUUUAACAAUUCUCAGUGCCUGUACUACAUUCAGAUUUAACUGGGUGUCUUCAGUGUGAUCUGCCAGCCACACUUUUCCUGUUUUCCUCUAUUUCCUGAAAGACUUGAGAAUUGCUCAAAAGAUAUGAAAAAUUGCUGCUGUGGCCCCCCUGAGCUUAUUUGACAGCAACAGUCGUGUGAGUGAAUAUCAUGCAGUCUCAGCGAGCUGCCUGCCUGUGCCUGAGUUUAUCAUCAGUCCUUGAUGAUCUGUUGCUCACAUAAAGCUUACCACGCUAGGGGUACAUAAGAUGUAUUGGUUAGUUUUGACCCAUCUGCCCAGGCCUUGUGUGUUAAUGGUGGCUGUUAGCACAUUCAAAGAUGGGUGUCGGCCGGGCGUGGUGGCGCAUGCCUUUUAUCCCAGCACUUGGGAGGUAGAGGCAGGUGGAUUUCUGAGUUGGAGGCCAGCCUGGUCUGCAGAGUGAGUUCUAGGACAGCCAGGGCUACACAGAGAAACCUGGUCUCGAAACCCCCCCCCCAAAAAAAAAGAAAAGAAAAAAAAUGGGUGUCAGAGUGCAUAUCUUUAACCCAGUGGCUUGGUAGGUGCAUGGUUGGUGGGAUUGGCUUGGGAUGGGAGUCAGAUCCCUUCCACUUUUUUUCUUUUUUGAGUCAGGGUUUAGCGCCAGACUUGCUGUGGUAGCUCAAGUUGGCCUCAGACUUGUGAGCUUCCUGCCUUGCUGCUGGAGACUGUGGGCAGAGCAGCUUGUUACCUGCCCCCCACCCCCUCUGGUCGUGCUCAGGCUUCUCUUCUUCCCUGUUGGCGCAGCGCUGAUCGGUGGCCUCUAGGACCCAGGGUUGCUUUCUCCAUUCAAGCAUUCUAGCUCCCAUCUCCUUUUUAGAAACCUACAGGUCCUUUUUGGUCAGGAUUUUGGUGCGUGUGAGGAAGCAGGUGUACAAUAUAAAUAAACUUUGUCAGUGGCGCAGGGAACAACAGUUGUUGUGAGGUUGCUCCCUACCCUGUGAGUGGGAAUGGGUACACACAGCUUCCUGCGGAUAGUACAGGUUUCCCCAAUUUAAGAAAGAGCUCUAUGUUGGGAAAGAGCAACUUCAUGUCCCAGGUACCACCUCAGCAGCCCUUCGCUGCUGCUGCCCCAGGUAGUGCACAAGCUGCGCUCUUCAGGGUGCAGCGAGGAUUUUCAUUUCCUCUUCAGUUCUAGUUGGACAGGUUGAAUCGGUGUCAGUGUACCCAUUCCAGUAAUCGGGACAGAAAAAGUCAUUUCUUGGAGAGUGGUUCCCACGUGCAGAGGCUGAAGCAGGGAGAAUUGACACCAGCCUGGGCUCCCCCCCCCCUAUUUUUUAUUAAUAGGCAUGAGGAUUUUGCCUACAUGUAUGUACGUGCCAUGUCAUACAUUUUUUGUUUGAUCAUUUUUUGAGACAGGCUUUUUCCGUAUAGUUUUGACUGUUCCUGAACUCACUUUGUAGACCAGACUGCCUCAGAAAGAUCCUUUGCCUUUGUAAUCUCAAGUGCUGGGAUUAAAGUGGGUCUCCACCACCACACUGCAGCCAUUGAUCUCUCCAACCCCCACCCACCCACCCAGAUUUCUUAGACCCUGUUUCAAAGUUUAAAAAAAAAAGUUUGUAGUACUCUAAGCAGUUGGUCAUGACCAAGCAGAAAUGAUCUAUGUUAGGGUAGCACCAUCCGGGGGACAGUGACCGCGGAAUCCAGCUUGCCGCAGAGUACCCCUUUGUCUAUGAAAUAGGAUGGGGCUUGAAAGUGACCUAGGACUUUUGGGAUAGCAUUGGAAAUGUAAUUGAGGAAAAUAUGUAAUUAAAAAAAAAAAAAGAAAAGAAAGUGACCUAGGAAGCUACAGGAAUAUAGCUCAUGCAAGUGUUUUUAGGAAUGAAUUUUUUAGGUAAGGAUAGUGAUUCGUGCCUUUGUCUUUCAUCCCAGAACUCAUGAAGUGGAUCUUUGUGAAUUACAGACCAGCCAGGACUACAGAGUGAGACUCUGUCUUCUCUCCCCCUCUCCCAAUGUCUGCCCCAAAGGAAUGAAAUUUAACAGGUGGCAGUCAUCUGUAAUUCUAGUAAUUGGGAGAUGAAGACAGAAGAGAAUUCUAGCCUGAACUACUUGAACCGGUAUCUCAAAGAUCCUCCCUCCAAUAAACAGUGACUUAAUCAACAUGUGUAAUUUUGUAGUUUGCUCUUGCAACAGUAAGUCAGUGUUGGAGCAAGGGGAACACUGCGGGCUUGGUGGUGGUGUAUAGAAUUGUCUAGUGGGCUUCACACUGAACCCUAUUGCCUGGGAGUUUGUUGUGCUGUUUGACCUACUACACACUUUCCCAUAACUGGCCCUGGGUGCUUAGAUUGGUGUGAGAGGCCAGCUGUGUGGCCUGGCUGCAUGAUUGCAGUGUGAAGGGGCACUUAACCCUAUCCCAGAGAGUUGAGAAGUAAUCAUGUUUAGACAGUAUUUACAGCAAGCUUUUGACACAAAGACUGUAAUGCUGGAUGCUGGGGACCUGCAUCCUCAGCAGUUCCACUCUAAGACCCAUGGCCUGCUUGUGAGGCAGAAUGUGCUGGGCGGAGACUACCUGGGUUUUAGUCCCUCCUCAGCUACCUGUAGUUGAGUGAGCCUCUUUGUGCCUUGGUUUCCUUGUCAUUAUCAUCAUAAUGAUACCCACUUCUUGAGUUUGACAUUUGUAGGAUGUAUCAGCUAGUUAUGAUAAUGGUUUCACAGGCUGAGUUAGAACCUGGUCUAGAAUUGCUUUCUAACUUGUAUCUUUUUAUGGCAGUGGUUGGGGAGGGGUUUCAGAGGAGACUGCCUUGAGACUUUACUAUGGUGAAGGAAGGAUCAGCCACUUUGCGUUAGCAUAUAUUCUGUGUGAAGGAAGUCUUUCUGUUUGCUGGGAACUAAAAGGUAGCUGGUAGCAUCCUUUGGAAGGGAAUCAGUUGUGUCUCAUUAGAAGAUACUUAGAGUCUUUGCAUAAGUCAGUGUGCAGCUGAAGGUUGCUGAUUUGACUAAAGUCCAGUGUGAUCUUCAGGAAAGGCCGAUCAGGGUUUCAGCCUUUUAUCAUUAAUCAGCUCUUGAAUAGGACUUCAGGGACUGGUACCAGUUGUUGGGGGGGUGGCCAUAGCCACCAUUGGGCUGUAUGGUCCCUGUUUGGGCAGGAGGAGUGGGAACACUGAAUGCGUGGGUCACCACAAGCUAAAGAUAGUCUGGCCUAGCAGACAUCACGUGACUGCUUUCUGGCCUACCCUCUGCCUGAGGACAGAUGCACUGUAUCACAAGCUGGAUGUUGGCCUGCAGCUUCUUUUCUGCAGGGUUUCAAGUCAGUCUGACCUUCUGAAGCCCACUUCUUCCUGCCCACAGCCCCUCCUGAGUUUUUAUCUGCAGACAUGGGGACUGGAUGGGAGGGACAGGGUAGAGAAAGUCCUCUAAGAAGUGGCAGCCAAAGCCACAGAGAGCUCAUAUAAGGUAUGGAAGCUAAUUGGACAUUCUUUUUGCCUUGUAGAGAAACCUCCUGUUGGGGAGUUGCUUAGGUUUGUAGGGAUGGGACAAAGACAGAAUUGUUUGUCCAUCUUUAGGUUUUAACAUGAUUCUACCCAGGCUGGCUUGGGAGGGAGAGGCACAGGUGUGUCACCCUCCCUUCCUAUAGCUUUACUACCUUUUUCAUAGUCAAAGGACUGGGCUGGGGUAAGGCAGAAAGAACCCUGUGCUCUGGUCCAAGAUUUGGCUGAGGAGUCUUUGUGGGGCAAAGUCUGUGGUGGAGGAUCUGGGUGAGACUAGGGGCUGAUGAAGGCCAUCACCAUUUGACCUUCAUGGUCCCUAGCUUCGUUCCCACCCUUUGAUGGUGGUUAAGGCAUAACCUUUAGAACACACACUCCAGAUCUUGUCCUGCUGCUUGACUGUUCUAACCUUGGCAAACACUUGUAGUAGAUGUCUUGAUUUUCUUGAUAAUGGGACCAAUGAAAGGAACUCAUUUGACUUUAAGGAUUGUGAGAUCCAUGUCGUGCUUAAGACAUAAGAACCUCACACCCUGCUUGGGAUGAAGUUUAGCCUUUAGCCCCCCCCCCCCCUUGGCCUUUUCUGUUAUACCUACAUAGAGCAUCAGCUUUUCGUGUAGCUAAGGAAGAUGGUGUUGGGAUGGCUGGCAGUGCCCUCACAUUCAUCUCAAGGCCUAUGAGAGCCAGUAAUGUCUAGGCUGCUUGUUCUGUCAUUACCACCCUCCAUCCCCACUCCCAAGAAGGCUCAAACUAAAGGCCAAAGAGUCUUGUGAGGCCAGGCCCCGGGCUAGUCAUUGUGCUUCCUGUUGUGAGAACAGCCUGGUCCCUGCACUCAUCAGGAACUCUGUUGUCUAGAGCGGUCCCUGGAUGGUUAAUAUGUACUGUGUCCUGAAGAGUGCCUAGUAGAGGGUCUUGGCUUCACUCAUGUUCUGGAGGUCUCUAAAAAGGACAUUGAUUUUGGCUAGGUGGAGGAGGCACUGCUGGAGUUAAGUAAGGGUGGGGGGUAUAGCUGGCUGGUUUGUAAAUCUUUUGCAGCCAACCCCAGCAGUCCUGCUUAAACUCAACCUAUGGGACACUGGUCUUUAUUACUAGCACUGGGUAAAUCUGGGACCUCCCAUUUUGAUCCCAUUCUGGCUGGCCACCCACUUAUUCCUGUAUACUUAAUUUACUAGCUUAUCCCAUCCUUCCUUCAGUACUGGUCCAUAAUUUCAAUCCACCCCUACCCAUUCUUUGUGCCAUGGCCUGAUAGGGUUGGAUUAUUUUAUACCUUCUUCACCAAAAACCUUAAGUACUUCCUGGGAGGUUGCAAGUAACUCAGGAGACUUCCAGCCCCUUUUGGGGUAGUCCUUGUUACAAAAACGUUAGCAGCCUUAGGUCUUUCUAGAACUGGACAAUACAGAAAAAAUAAUUGGUAGCCUUUGUACCAGGUCUAUAAAUGUCCCCAUAUUUUCCUAUUUAGAACUCUGAAGGUUUUCUUCUUUCCUGGGGAGGGGAGUGUGAGGAUGUGGGUGGCUCCUUGCCACAGGUCUCUGCCUUGGAGACAGGUUUGAGGCGUUGUGGGCUGUCUGAUUUGUAUUUUAAGGUGGAAAUUGAAGCUGACAGUUUUAGAGACCUGGAAUGGUGAUCUGCUCGUGGAGAGAUGACUUGAUGGUCUUUUUCUCUGCUAAGGAUGAGGGUAGAUUUUGAUUUCUUAGGGAGUUCAAAUUGUAACAUUUAACAUUUGUUGAGUGCCUUUACCGUGUGCUGGGCAUUCUGUGGCUUGUUUGCUUACAUCAGUGGGCCCCUGACGUCAGUAUUACCUCCAGAAUCACAGAGGUCUAGACAAGGGGUGUAUUCCAUGUGCUUAACGGUACCAUCUGUCUUUCCUGGGUAUUUGAGUAAGUACACUGGAAAAUGGAGGUUCACAAACAUUCCUUCUUCAUAUGCCCUGCACUGUAAGGGACUUUUACCCCCUAAAGCCCACCCUGCCAUAGCUCCUGCUAAUAAUGCCUUGCAGCACCCACUCUUCUUUUGGUCCUUUCUUUCUUCUGCAAUAAUGGACUCUUGUGUCCUUCACUCAGGAAAACAAUCUUAACAGAGUGAAAAAGAGUUUGCUAUGUAGAUAGCUUCAGGAAAAAGCCCAGGUGCCCCCUUUGAAAAGUAGACUGUCCUUCAGAGGAACGUUGAUGUGCUUCUUUUUGCUUUGUUUAGGUUUUUUCAUUAUUUGUUUUUUUAAUUUGUAAUGCGCUUUCUAUUAAAUUAUUUAUUUAUUUAUUUGCCUUUGUUUUAUUCAAGACGGGGUUUCUAACAGCCCUGGCUGUCCUGGAACUCACUUUGGUGACCAGGCUGGCCUUGAACUCACAGAGAUCAGAUUUCUUCUGCUUCCUGAGUGCUGGGAUUUAUGGCAUGUGCCACCAUGCCCAUUUUAAUCCUAAUUGUUUCUUUUAUGUUUAUGAAUGUUUGCCUGUGUGGAUUUCUGUGCACCAUGUAUGUUCAGUAUCCAUGGAGACCAGAAGGAGACAUUGGAUUUCUUGGAGACAGUUAGGUGUUUGUUUGUUGAGCCUCCAUAUGGGUGUUGGGAAUUGAACUUGGGUCCUGGAAGAGCAGCUGGUGCUCCUAAUCACUGAAUCAUCUCUGCAGCUCCUUACUUUAUUUCUUUGUGUGUGCAUAGCACACAUAUUGAGGCUAAUUGCAGGAAUCAGUUCUCUUCUUCAGUCAUGUGGGUCACAGGUGGUGUAUACCUUUAAUCCCAGCACCCAGGAGACAGAGCCAAGGUGAAUGUCUUGAGUUCAAAGCCAGUCUGAUCCAGGGCUGCACAGAGGGGGGAAACAAACAACAACAACAAAAAAAAAACACACACACACACAAAACCAAACACAGUUGACUCCUCUUCUAGGUACCUGGCAGCCUCUAAUCUUCACGGAGGAGGAAGCCAUCCUAGAACUUGGGCCUGCCAUUUCAUACUGACCCUAUAAGCUCAGACUGGGAUGUCUGAUUGGAAAAAAAUAGAGAAGGGCCCUAAAUUACAGUAAGACGUGACAGUUAGGAGAGACUUUCACUCAUGUCCAGGAAGAGGGGACCUUUCUACUGCCAGUGGAUGUCUGGGAAUCCAUGCCAUUUCUUGGAAGAGAAUGAAGCCUCUAGUUCCUAGCUAUUUCUAGAAAAUCCUUCCCAUGUAUAGCUGGAGUCCCCUGCCUACAAACAGUGGGGUUAGAAUUGUUUUCUUUUUCUUUAAAAAAAGAUUUAUUAUUAUACAUAAGUACACUGUAGCUGUCCUCAGACGCACCAGAAGAGGGCGUCAGAUCUCAUUAUGGGUGGUUGUGAGCCACCAUGUUGUUGCUGGGACUUGACCUUGGGACCUUCAGAAGAGCAGUCAGCGCUCUUAACCGCUGAGCCAUCUCGCCAGCCCCGAAUUGUUUUCUUAUAUAAGUGACAGUGAUGUGUCCUGAGCUUGGCUUGGGUGACUGGUGGCAGGUAAGGCAGGCAGAGUGCUGACUUGGCUUGGUGCAGGAUGGACAUUAGGGUCCUGCUGCCUUGGAGGCAGUCUGAGGCUCUAGCAAGGAACAGGAAAAAAGAACAGGGCACCAUAGUUCCUCUUGGUGGAACUCUGGGAUGUAACUCUAAUAAACUCUACUAGGACUGUCCUGUGUGACCCAGCAGGCCACUCUACGCUCUCAUCAGGUGGAUGCUCAAAUAGGAAUGAACAGGCUCUUCUAGGCUUUCUCUCUGUACUGGAGACAGAACUUGCAGUCCAUGACCACGUUCUGCUGAGAUCUCAGGGUGAUCCCAUCAGUACUGUUCAGUUUUGAGAGUUUUUAUAAGAAAUAAGCUGGCCAAUGGAGUAUGCAUCUGGAAUUCCAGCUUGGUAGGCUGUGACAGGGGAAUGGCUGGAAUGUAGAGGCUGCUUUGGGCUACAAGCAAGACCCUUCCUUAAAAA